rnacentral:sRNA from 1 species
UAGACACAAGUAGAGCGCGCGUCACGU